UCCUCGUUUAGACGAGGCAGUCUGUCCAGAGUGCUUCGAACUCUCGUUCGAGUGGCAACAGGACACAAGGGUUGCGCUCGUUGCGGGACUUAACCCAACAUCUCACGACACGAGCUGACGACAGCCAUGCAGCACCUGUGUAGGCUGGUAUUGCUACCUCGUCCCGCUUUCACGGUUCUACUACCUACAUGUCAAGGCCAGGUAAGGUUCUUCGCGUUGCAUCGAAUUAAGCCACAUACUCCACCGCUUGUGCAGGCCCCCGUCAAUUUCUUUGAGUUUUAAUCUUGCGACCGUACUUCCCAGGCGGCACGUUUAACGCGUUGGCUACGCCACAAAAGGGGUCGAAUCCUUUUACAGCAAACGUGCACCGUUUACGGCUAGGACUAC
rnacentral:misc_RNA from 1 species